rnacentral:rRNA from 1 species
GACGAACGCUGGCGGCGUGCUUAACACAUGCAAGUCGAACGGAAAGGCCCUGCUUGCAGGGUCCUCGAGUGGCGAACGGGUGAGUAACACGUGGGUGAUCUGCCCUGCACUUCGGGAUAAGCUUGGGAAACUGGGUCUAAUACCGGAUAGGACCGCACUUUAGUGUGUGUGGUGGAAAGUUUUUUCGGUGUAGGAUGAGCUCGCGGCCUAUCAGCUUGUUGGUGGGGUAAUGGCCUACCAAGGCGGCGACGGGUAGCCGGCCUGAGAGGGUGUACGGCCACAUUGGGACUGAGAUACGGCCCAGACUCCUACGGGAGGCAGCAGUGGGGAAUAUUGCACAAUGGGCGCAAGCCUGAUGCAGCGACGCCGCGUGGGGGAUGAAGGCCUUCGGGUUGUAAACUCCUUUCGCUAGGGACGAAGCUUUGUUGUGACGGUACCUAGAGAAGAAGCACCGGCUAACUACGUG